UACAGAGGUCCCAAGCGUUGUUCGGAUUCACUGGGCGUAAAGGGUGCGCAGGUGGGUUGGCAAGUUUGACGUGAAAGCCCCGGGCUUAACCCGGGAAUGGCGUUGAAAACUGCUGAUCUGGAGGGUCGGAGGGGAGACUGGAAUUCUCGGUGUAGCAGUGAAAUGCGUAGAUAUCGAGAGGAACACCAGUGGCGAAGGCGAGUCUCUGGACGACUCCUGACACUGAGGC
rnacentral:rRNA from 1 species